rnacentral:rRNA from 1 species
GACGAACGCUGGCGGCGUGCCUAAUACAUGCAAGUUGAGCGCUGAAGGUUGGUACUUGUACCAACUGGAUGAGCAGCGAACGGGUGAGUAACGCGUGGGGAAUCUGCCUUUGAGCGGGGGACAACAUUUGGAAACGAAUGCUAAUACCGCAUAAAAACUUUAAACACAAGUUUUAAGUUUGAAAGAUGCAAUUGCAUCACUCAAAGAUGAUCCCGCGUUGUAUUAGCUAGUUGGUGAGGUAAAGGCUCACCAAGGCGAUGAUACAUAGCCGACCUGAGAGGGUGAUCGGCCACAUUGGGACUGAGACACGGCCCAAACUCCUACGGGAGGCAGCAGUAGGGAAUCUUCGGCAAUGGACGAAAGUCUGACCGAGCAACGCCGCGUGAGUGAAGAGGUUUUCGGAUCGUAAAACUCUGUUGGUAGAGAAGAACGUUGGUGAGAGUGGAAAGCUCAUCAAGUGACGGUAACUACCCAGAAAGGGACGGCUAACUACGUG